GAAAAACCACCGUUGUAUUCAAUUCCAGAAAU
rnacentral:tRNA from 1 species